UGAUUUGGGUUAUUUCUGGUGGGAGGGAAGGAGAGACUGAUGAGGCCUCCAUUGCAGGCCCCUCCCUGCAGGCCUCCAGCCUGGAGUGCAGCAACUCAGAGCCAUCAUCCAUCACCCCUUCCAAAUCCUAGGAUUUGGGAGGUCAGGAGCCCAGCCGUCUCUUCCCCCGAGGCCCCAGCACCCAGCCUGGUGGUGAGCAUUGAAACAAAUUCAUCCAACAAAAGGGUCUCACUAAUUUGCUGAGACUGCCCUUGAACCUGCAAUCCUCCUGCCUGGGCCUCCCAAGUUGCUGGGAUGACAGGCAUGCGACCGGCUACACACACCUCCAAGUACACACCCCGCAGCCACGCGUCUGCUCCUGGAGGCUCAUCACAGCUCAGCUGCGGUCAUUCUUCUUGUACACGUGCCACCAGAGAAACACGAACUGCACUCUGUCUAGAAGUGCUGGGAAUGGAACCCAGGGUCUUACAAAUGCUGUGCCACCAAGCUACACACCCAGCCUCGUCAUGUCUAUCAGUAGGGAGCGGAUGCCGGGCAUCAAACCCAGGGCCUCCCACAUGCUAACCCACUCUACCGCUAAGCCACACCCUCAGCCCUAAAUUGACUUCAAUAUUAUUUUUAUUUAGCAUAAUACACCAAACUAGUAUUUCAGCAUGUAGGUGAUAUUUUUAAAUUAUUAACAAAGCUGGGCAUAGUGUGCUCCUAUAGUCCCAGCUACCCAGGGCUGAGGCAGGG